rnacentral:rRNA from 1 species
AGCGAACGCUGGCGGCAGGCCUAACACAUGCAAGUUGAACGGAUCCUUCGGGAUUAGUGGCGGACGGGUGAGUAACACGUGGGAACGUGCCCUUUGGUUCGGAACAACUCAGGGAAACUUGAGCUAAUACCGGAUGUGCCCUUCGGGGGAAAGAUUUAUCGCCAUUGGAGCGGCCCGCGUCUGAUUAGCUAGUUGGUGAGGUAAAGGCUCACCAAGGCGACGAUCAGUAGCUGGUCUGAGAGGAUGAUCAGCCACAUUGGGACUGAGACACGGCCCAAACUCCUACGGGAGGCAGCAGUGGGGAAUCUUGCGCAAUGGGCGAAAGCCUGACGCAGCCAUGCCGCGUGAAUGAUGAAGGUCUUAGGAUUGUAAAAUUCUUUCACCGGGGACGAUAAUGACGGUACCCGGAGAAGAAGCCCCGGCUAACUUCGUGCCAGCCGCCGCCGUAA